GCGGAUUUAGCUCAGUUGGGAGAGCGCCAGACUGAAGUCAACCUUGGAUAACUUGUAAUCUGGAGGUCCUGUGUUCGAUCCACAGAAUUCGCA
rnacentral:tRNA from 1 species